UCAAAGCUUGUUUCUUUAUUAAUUUAAUACCUAUUAUAACCUUGAACCCUCCACCAUUACUGAAUAAUUUUAUAAUGUUAUAAAAGCUCUCCUGCUAGAACUAGUAACAAGAAAUAGAUUUUCUCCAAAAUGCAAACUUAAGCCAGUAUGAACUAAUCACUGGCAAUUAACGUUUAUGAACCAACUAUAGUAACACACCAAGAAAACCCUAUAUAUACAUAUUAACGUUACCCUAACACUAGAGCAUUUCAGGAAAGAUUAAAAGAAAGAGAAGGAACUCGGCAAAUUUUAACCCCGCCUGUUUACCAAAAACAUCGCCUCUUGCCUAAUUAUAAGAGGUCUAGCCUGCCCAGUGACAUAGUUCAACGGCCGCGGUAUCCUAACCGUGCGAAGGUAGCAUAAUCACUUGUUCUUUAAAUAAGGACUAGUAUCAACGGCAUCACGAGGGUUAUACUGUCUCCUCUAUCCAAUCAGUGAAACUGAUCUUCCCGUGAAGAAGCGGGAAUAUUAAUAUAAGACGAGAAGACCCCAUGGAGCUUUAAACUCAACAACACCUCCUUAUAUUCAAACCCAGAAAAUUAAGAAGUUAUGUAAGUUAGUUUUAGGUUGGGGUGACCGCGGAGAAUAAUAAAACCUCCAUAACGAACGGGUACAACCCUAAUCCAAGAGCAACUGCUCUAAGAAUCAAUAAAUUGACGUAAUAUGAUCCGAUACUCGAUCAACGAACCAAGUUACCCUGGGGAUAACAGCGCAAUCCAUUUCAAGAGCCCCUAUCGACAAAUGGGUUUACGACCUCGAUGUUGGAUCAGGGUAUCCUAGAGGUGCAGCCGCUUCUAAAGGUU
rnacentral:rRNA from 1 species